AUUGAACGCUGGCGGCAGGCCUAACACAUGCAAGUCGAACGAGUGGCGGACGGGUGAGUAAUGUCUGGGAAACUGCCCGAUGGAGGGGGAUAACUACUGGAAACGGUAGCUAAUACCGCAUACCAUCGGAUGUGCCCAGAUGGGAUUAGCUAGUAGGUGGGGUAACGGCUCACCUAGGCGACGAUCCCUAGCUGGUCUGAGAGGAUGACAAGCCACACCGGAAGGGCUACAAGGGGCAGACGCCUACGGGGGGAAGCAGUGGGGAAGAUUGCAAAAGGGGCGCAAGCCUGAUGCAGCCAUGCCGCGGGUAUGAAGAAGACCGGCGGGUUGUAAAGUACUUUCAGCGGGGAGGCGUUACUCGCAGAAGAAGCACCGGCUAACGCCGUGCCAGCAGCCGCGGUAAUAC
rnacentral:rRNA from 1 species